rnacentral:rRNA from 1 species
GGUCAGGACGAACGCUGGCGGCGUGCCUAAUACAUGCAAGUCGAACGGUCUUUCUAUGGAAGCUUGCUUCCACUGAGAAGAUAGUGGCGAACGGGUGAGUAACACGUGGGUAACCUGCCCAUAAGAGGGGGGAUAACAUCCGGAAAACGGGUGCUAAUACCGCAUAGUUUUCUUGAUUGCAUGAUUGAGAAAGGAAAGACGGCCUUUGUGCUGUCGCUUAUGGAUGGACCCGCGGCGUAUUAGUUAGUUGGUGAGGUAACGGCUCACCAAGACGAUGAUACGUAGCCGACCUGAGAGGGUGAUCGGCCACAUUGGGACUGAGACACGGCCCAAACUCCUACGGGAGGCAGCAGUAGGGAAUCUUCCGCAAUGGACGAAAGUCUGACGGAGCAACGCCGCGUGAGCGAAAAGAAGGUUUUCGGAUCGUAAAACUCUGUUGUCAGAGAAGAACAAGUUGGAGAGUAACUGCUCCAGCCUUGACGGUAUCUGACCAGAAAGCCACGGCUAACUACGUGCCAGCCGCGGC